GAUGAAGAACGUAGUGAAACGUGAAAGGUAAUGCGAAUUGCAGAAUCAGUGAGUCAUCGAAUCUUUGAACGCACAUUGCGCCCCUUGGUAUUCCGGGGGGCACGCCUGUUCGAGCGCCAUUACACACCCCAAGCUAAGCUUGAUGUUGGGCGAUGUCUGUCACAGGACACGCCUGGAACGUAUGGGCGCCGCCGCCGGAUCACGAGUGUAGCAAGACGCAAGUCAUCGCUCGGUCGGUCCUGGCGGUUGGCCGCCGUGGCUCAUGGUAACACAUGGGCCAGUAACUUUUCACAAGUUUGGCCUCGAAUCAGGCGGGGAUACCCGCUGAACUUAAGCAUAUCAAUAAGCGGAGGA
rnacentral:misc_RNA from 1 species